rnacentral:rRNA from 1 species
UACAGAGGGUGCAAGCGUUAAUCGGAAUUACUGGGCGUAAAGCGCAUGUAGGUGGUUUGGCAAGUUGGAUGUGAAAGCCCUGGGCUUAACCUGGGAACUGCAUUCAAAACUAUCAAGCUAGAGUAGAGUAGAGGGAAGUGGAAUUUCCGGUGUAGCGGUGAAAUGCGUAGAUAUCGGAAGGAACACCAGUGGCGAAGGCGGCUUCCUGGACUCAUACUGACACUGAGGUGCGAAAGCGUGGGGAGCAAACAGG